UACAGAGGGGGCAAGCGUUAUUCGGAAUUAUUGGGCGUAAAGGGCGCGUAGGCGGCUUUGCAAGUGACGGGUGAAAUCCCUCGGCUUAACCGAGGAACUGCCUGUCAAACUGCAUGGCUUGAGACCGGGAGAGGUGAGUGGAAUUCCCAGUGUAGCGGUGAAAUUCGUAGAUAUUCGGAAGAACACCAGUGGCGAAGGCGGCUCACUGGACUGGUAUUGACGCUGAGGUGCGAAAGCGUGGGGAGCAAACAGG
rnacentral:rRNA from 1 species